rnacentral:misc_RNA from 1 species
AACGCACCUUGCGCCCUUUGGUAUUCCGAAGGGCAUGCCCGUUCGAGUGUCUUGACAUCAUCACCUCACCUGGUUUGUUAUGAACCUUUGGGAAAGGUGGAAUUGGAGGUUUUUGCUGCUGAACAAGUGGCUCCUCUUGAAUGUAUCGGCUGUGCUCAAAGGCGCUCCCUUGACGUUGUAAUCUUUCCUCGUCUUGAGCUGCUUUCUGACUGGCCUCGGCUUUUUGCCUCUGGAGUGGCGGCCACCAUGCUCUUUUUUGACAUCUGACCUCGAAUCGGGUAGGACUACCCGCUGAACUUAA